UACGAAGGGGGCUAGCGUUGUUCGGAAUUACUGGGCGUAAAGGGCGCGUAGGCGGUUUGACAAGUCUGAUGUGAAAUCUCUGGGCUCAACCCAGAGUCUGCAUUAGAAACUGUCGGGCUUGAGUAUGGGAGAGGUGAGUGGAAUUCCGGUGUAGCGGUGAAUGCGUAGAUAUCGGAAGGAACACCUGUGGCGAAAGCGGCUCACUGGACCAUAACUGACGCUGAGGCGCGAAGCUAGGGAGCAA
rnacentral:rRNA from 1 species